AUGCAGCAGGACGGCCGCCUCGGCCUCGCAUGGCUUGGAGCGACGACGAGCUCCGGUGACCUUCCGAAGGCAAUGGCGACUACAAUGGGUACGGCUUUGGCGAUGGCUUUGACGACACCAACUAGCAGCCCCUGCUCUCCCCUGUUCUGUUAUGUCACUUAUGCUGUAUGUAUCCCUGUGAAAAGAAGCUACAUAUCUCUUCUUCCUAUGUUUAUUUGUUUGGGAUGCAUUGAGGUCUUGUAUGCCGUAGCAAUGAUGCUUUGUUGGGUGCUCGUUUUGUAUUGGAGUUGUUUGAGACGCAAGGUUGUGUUGAUUACACCAUUCAAACUUGAGAUUCCUCAGCUGUGUUAG
rnacentral:rRNA from 1 species